rnacentral:rRNA from 1 species
UACGAAGGGGGCUAGCGUUGCUCGGAAUCACUGGGCGUAAAGGGUGCGUAGGCGGGUCUUUUAAGUCAGGGGUGAAAUCCUGGAGCUCAACUCCAGAACUGCCUUUGAUACUGAGGAUCUUGAGUUCGGGAGAGGUGAGUGGAACUGCGAGUGUAGAGGUGAAAUUCGUAGAUAUUCGCAAGAACACCAGUGGCGAAGGCGGCUCACUGGCCCGGUACUGACGCUGAGGUGCGAAAGCGUGGGGAGCAAACAGG